GAUGAACGCUGGCGGCGUGCCUAAUACAUGCAAGUCGAGCGAACGGACGAGAAGCUUGCUUCUCUGAUGUUAGCGGCGGACGGGUGAGUAACACGUGGAUAACCUACCUAUAAGACUGGGAUAACUUCGGGAAACCGGAGCUAAUACCGGAUAAUAUUUUGAACCGCAUGGUUCAAAAGUGAAAGACGGUCUUGCUGUCACUUAUAGAUGGAUCCGCGCUGCAUUAGCUAGUUGGUAAGGUAACGGCUUACCAAGGCAACGAUGCAUAGCCGACCUGAGAGGGUGAUCGGCCACACUGGAACUGAGACACGGUCCAGACUCCUACGGGAGGCAGCAGUAGGGAAUCUUCCGCAAUGGGCGAAAGCCUGACGGAGCAACGCCGCGUGAGUGAUGAAGGUCUUCGGAUCGUAAAACUCUGUUAUUAGGGAAGAACAUAUGUGUAAGUAACUGUGCACAUCUUGACGGUACCUAAUCAGAAAGCCACGGCUAACUACGUGCCAGCAGCCGCGGUAAUACGUAGGUGGCAAGCGUUAUCCGGAAUUAUUGGGCGUAAAGCGCGCGUAGGCGGUUUUUUAGUCUGAUGUGAAAGCCCACGGCUCAACCGUGGAGGGUCAUUGGAAACUGGAAAACUUGAGUGCAGAAGAGGAAAGUGGAAUUCCAUGUGUAGCGGUGAAAUGCGCAGAGAUAUGGAGGAACACCAGUGGCGAAGGCGACUUUCUGGUCUGUAACUGACGCUGAUGUACGAAAGCGUGGGGAUCAAACAGGAUUAGAUACCCUGGUAGUCCACGCCGUAAACGAUGAGUGCUAAGUGUUAGGGGGUUUCCGCCCCUUAGUGCUGCAGCUAACGCAUUAAGCACUCCGCCUGGGGAGUACGACCGCAAGGUUGAAACUCAAAGGAAUUGACGGGGACCCGCACAAGCGGUGGAGCAUGUGGUUUAAUUCGAAGCAACGCGAAGAACCUUACCAAAUCUUGACAUCCUUUGACAACUCUAGAGAUAGAGCCUUCCCCUUCGGGGGACAAAGUGACAGGUGGUGCAUGGUUGUCGUCAGCUCGUGUCGUGAGAUGUUGGGUUAGGUCCCGCAACGAGCGCAACCCUUAAGCUUAGUUGCCAUCAUUAAGUUGGGCACUCUAAGUUGACUGCCGGUGACAAACCGGAGGAAGGUGGGGAUGACGUCAAAUCAUCAUGCCCCUUAUGAUUUGGGCUACACACGUGCUACAAUGGACAAUACAAAGGGCAGCGAAACCGCGAGGUCAAGCAAAUCCCAUAAAGUUGUUCUCAGUUCGGAUUGUAGUCUGCAACUCGACUACAUGAAGCUGGAAUCGCUAGUAAUCGUAGAUCAGCAUGCUACGGUGAAUACGUUCCCGGGUCU
rnacentral:rRNA from 1 species